AUGGCGAGCACUACCAAAGCCGUGGUGAUCUGUGGCAUUCUAGUUUUCCUGCAGGUGUGGUUUGCCGCGGGGGAUGUCUUAGACACCCCGGCGGUGAUGUCGUUGAACGGAUUCCAGCAAGGAGAGGAGGGUGGACCCGCGAAGUGCGACGGUCAGUACCACAGCGACAGCCUCUUACUGGUGGCGAUGACUUCGGCGUGGUACGGGCCCGGCCGGUGCGGCAAGGUGAUCAGCAUCAAGAGCACUGGCGGGAUCACCGUGCAGGCCGUGGUCGUGGACGAAUGCGACACAGACAACGGCUGCGGCACCACCGAGAUAAGCACGUCGGCCGGCGUGUGGCAUGCCUUCGGGCUUGACACCAGCGUCGGCGAGGUGCCUGUCACCUGGUCGGAC
rnacentral:rRNA from 1 species